GGGGGAAUAACGUAGACGAAAGCUACGACUAAUACCGCAUACGAUCUAUGGAUAGAAAGGCGGGGGAUCGCAAGACCUCGCGCGAUUGGAGCGGCCGAUAUCAGUAGUUAGGUAGUUGGUGGGUAAAGGCCUACCAAGCCGACGAUCUGUAGCUGGUCUGAGAGGACGACCAGCCACACUGGGACUGAGACACGGCCCAGACUCCUACGGGAGGCAGCAGUGGGGAAUUUUGGACAAUGGGCGCAAGCCUGAUCCAGCAAUGCCGCGUGCAGGAUGAAGGCCUUCGGGUUGUAAACUGCUUUUGUACGGAACGAAACAGCUCUUUCUAAUACAGAGGGCGAAUGACGGUACCGUAAGAAUAAGCACCGGCUAACUACGUG
rnacentral:rRNA from 1 species